rnacentral:rRNA from 1 species
UAGGGAAUAUUAGUAAUGGGCGAAAGCCUGAACUAGCAACGCCGCGUGUGCGAAGAAGGCCUUCGGGUUGUAAAGCACUUUUUGAGAGGAUGAGGAAGGACGGUACUCUCAGAAUAAGUCUCGGCUAACUACGUGCCAGCAGCCGCGGUAACACGUAGGAGGCGAACGUUAUCUGGAUUUACUGGGCGUAAAGCGCGUGUAGGUGGUUUGGUAAGUAGGGCGUGGAAGCGCCUGGGUCAACUGGGAGAGGCCGUUCUAAACUGCCGGACUAGAGGAUAGUAGAGGGAUGUGGAAUUCCGGGUGUAGCGGUGGAAUGCGCAGAUAUCUGGGGGAACACCAGUGGCGAAAGCGGCUUCCUGGAGUAUUCCUGACACUGAGACGCGAAAG